rnacentral:lncRNA from 1 species
GAUCUUGGGACACUCACACUGGCAAUUAAAUUUCAAGGUGAGCUUUGGUGGGGAUGAACCACAUCCAAACCUUAGCAGUCAGAAAAACAAAAUAUUCGGAAAUGAGAGUUUGUAACCACACGAUUGCAGUCAAGGGACCGCCACCUUUGCUUUCAAAAUGAUGGGAGGAUGUUUGCUUCUUGGUGCAUUCUUCCCUCCUAUGUAUUUGUUGAUUCAUUCAUUCAUUCACCAGUCUCACCCUGACUGCUUCUCACUUGGCCUUAGCAUGUGGAAAUGAGAUAUGGUGUCUCUUGACUCAUUCAGCAAAUAUUUAUUGAGACCCUAUUAGAUGGCAGAAACUGUUCUAGGUAUUGGGGACAUGGUGGCAACAACAAAAGACAGGGAAUGUUUAAGCCAGUUGGAGUAAGCCAAACGAAACAAAGGGAAGGAAAUACUACAGUACCAUCUCAAUGCAUGGAAGGUGGGCAGAUCAGCAGUUACGUGACACAGCAGGUCUAGUACCAUGCUAUUUAGAGACUCCGUGGCAGGGAAUUUCAGUGUUUAUGACAAAAUCUCUCAAGUAUGUUUGAAAAUUGUAUGAUGAAAUAUUAUGGGAAAAAAGCUACAGAAAUGACAGGGAAGGCAGUUCAUGGAGGACAUGGCACCCUCCUGUCCUCUUCUUCCUCCACUCUGCAUCACAGUGUCCCCAUGCUGACCUUUAGCCCUGAGUUCUAAAAUUAAGAAUUCUAAUGGCCUCAUGUUGGGUUAUAAAGUGUUCUGCAAAAGUCCUUGAAGACUGUUAAGUCUCUUUUCUGCAGAAGAGGCAGACUUCAUGGCCAGUCAGAUCUAAUCCACUCCAUAGCUAUUUGGUAAGAUGACCUCCAGUAAAUCUCUCUCAAGUGUCUGUCUCUGGGUACCCAACAGCCGAUCUCCCCAUCCUGUCUGAACUGCUUCUGUGUUUGGUACUGAUGGUUACAUAAAGUAUCUCAGAAGUGAAAAGAAUUCCAUGUUCUUGGCUACUAUUAAUCUUGU